rnacentral:lncRNA from 1 species
GUUUGUUGAAAAUCAAAGUCAAGAAACAGUAUGUGUAUAUAGACUUUGAAUGGUGGCCAAAUUAAUGAAGGAGGAGAGGAUUUCAAGAGUUCAAACACUUUAAAAGUUUUGUAUCCUUUCACCAUGAACCUCUAUAAAAUGAGGGGUCACUCUCACUUGUACGAACCACCAGAAAGUGAAAGCAAAAGUGAAAUACAAAGGCCUCUCAUUCUCCUCAUCUCUCUGUGUCCACGAGUGAUAUUUGUGAACAUCUAGUGAACGAUUUCUAACACGUUAUCAGCACGAGUUCUACCGAGCUAAAAGGUAAAUAGGUGAGAAAUCGUUUCAUUUGAUGCUCCUCACUUUUGUUCAUGAACAAGCAAACGCAAAACCUCACCGCCAUCCUGAAGAUGCGAGUGAGGCACUGCUGCCCCGAAGGCUAGCAGAUCGGGCCUACUGCCGUCCUGAAGACGGACG